GUGCCAUGCGGGACAUAAUUCAGAAUUAUCCUCCCAUGGCAGAAGGCUGCAGGGUUGUCAUUAGCGUCGACAAACUGUACGUCAACGGAGAGCUCUACCGGGACCGAGAAGCAACUCCGUGGCUGUACUAGCAGGUGCUAUGUAACUAAAAUGGCUUAAUAUAAAAGGUGUGUUAAAAAAUAAUACAGUAGAUGCAAUGCAACUAAGUGUUAUAACUUUACAUCCAAUAUUCAAACUCGUUCUCUCUCCCAGAUGUUUCAGUUAAAUAUUUAAUGUCAUUUUAAUAUCACCCAUGCACAGUUUGUAAAGUGCUCAUCAAGCUCAUCACUUUCCUUUCCUUCACUCUUAUUCCUUCACCUACUUUCACUCCACACUGUGUACAUCCUUCUCUUCUCUAUUCUUCUCCCACGUAGUCAGCCAGCUAUGUAGCCCUCCAGCAGCCACACACAAACAUGUACUGCACAGGCAAAACAUGUGCACAUACAUAGACAACACACAACUCAGAAUACACAGAUACUCAAGUUCAGUCACACACCUAAAGUCUGUCACACUUCAUAGACACAAAACCACACAAAACUAGUGAUCCACAGCAGUCAGGUAAGUUAUUACACCACUCAAAAUUGUCACACAGAAUGUAUGUGGAAUCAAUAAGGAGACACUAUUUCAAAUAUUUAACCACUUGAAACCCCUACAAGCAGACAUUGCUUUACUAAAAGAAACUCAUAUUCCUAAAACUAUAGAUUACACUCAUCAACAGAGUUCCCACAUGCUUACUUAGUCAGUUACAAUUCCAAACAAAGAGGGGUCUUCCAUCCUGAUAAAUAAAAAGACUAACUUUAUUCAGAUAGAUCUUUAUUCAAUAGAUCCAGAAGGAACAUAUUUAAUCAUUAAUAUUUUGAUAGAAAACAUUGAAUAUUGCAUAGCUAAUGUGUAUGGUCCUAAUGUUGACGACCCCUCUUUCUUUCAAAGCUUCUUCACAUCACUGUCUGCUCACUCUGGUUCCAAACUUAUAGUAGAAUUCAAUUCAAUUCAAUUUUAAUUAUAUAGUGCCAAACCACAACAAAGUUAUCUCGAGGCACUUUACAAAGUAAGGUUUAAGACCUUACACAUCUAAACCCGACAUAUCCCACAUACAGCAACAAUUUGACAGCAACAGUGGAGAGCAAAAACUCCCUCUUUAACGAGGAAGAAACCUCCAGCAUAACCAGGCUGGAUGUGGGCGGCCAUCUGCCUCGACCGGUUGGGGUGAGAGGAUAGAGAGAGAGAAAAGCACAGCAACAACAACAAGCACCAACAGAGCACUGGCAGGAUGGUUGGACCAGAGACUGGAUACAGACAGGAUGGUUGGAUCCGCAACUGCCCAUCACAGACACAAAGCUCUGAGUCCCAUGAUACCUGUAGGUGAGGACAGAAUGGAGGAGAGAGAAAGAGCGACGGAGAAGCACAACUACUGGAGAGAAAGAGACAUGGUUGGAUGAACAUUGAUAACAAUGAUAGGAUGUUAUUGGACAGGUAGAAGGAAAUAGAGGAGCUCAGUGUAUAAAUUAAAUCUUCCAGCAGUCUAUGUCUAUUGCACCUUAACUAAGACAUGAUUCCUGUGACUAACAAUCAUUGCCAGUGACCUGAACCAUCUUUAACUAUAAGCUUUAUGAAAGGAAGGUUUUAAGCCUGAUCUUAAAGAUGGAGAGUGUGUCAGCUUCUCAAACCUGAAGAGGGAGCUGGUUCCACAGGAGAGGAGCUUGGUAGCUAAAAGCUCUGCCUCCAAUUCUACAUUUAAAGACUCUAGGAACCACCAGCAGCCCAGCGCUAUGAGAACGAAGUUUUCUGCUGGGAGCAUAAGGAACUAUGAGGUCUUAAGAUAAGAUAAGAAGGAGCUAUAUCAGUAAGUACUUUGUAGGUGAGUAGGAUCCCACAGUUGUUUCUUCCAUGAACAGCACAUUUUACAGGCAGCCAGUGCGGAGAAGCUAAUGUAGGAGAAAUGUGACCUCUCUUUCUAAGUCCUGUUAGAACUGCUACUGAAUGUCUUCUGUAAUGGUGUUAAUUUUAUUAGUAAAGUAGUUCACAAAGUCAUUGCUCCUGAGAUUUAAGGGGAUAGUAGGCCCAACACAGCUAUGGCACAGCUAUGACUCUUAGUCAGCCUGUCUACAGUCUUUUUUAGCAGCACAAAGUGCUUUUUUAUAUAUUAUUAGACUGUCCUUCCAUGCAAUGCAGUUCAAAUUUAUUUUGUUGGAACGCCACUGCCUUUCUAAAAGGGGACUUUAAUUUAGUAUUUAACCCAGAGUUGGACAGGCUAAGCAAAGCUGUGAGCAACAGGAACUGGCAAUCAGUAUAGACCUUAAAACGGUACAUGGAUGAUUUUGGUUUCUGUGACACAUGGCGUUCUGUUCACCCUACCUCCAGGGAAUGCACCUUCUUCUUGCCAGUUCACCACUCUUACUCCCGUAUAGAUUACAUUUUAGUAAAUAACUCUUACAAGAUGUAAGAGCUGUAACACCAAUACUCACUCUAUCACAAUCAGUGAUCAUGCACCAGUGUCCAUUUCUUUGAUCAAGACAGUUACACCAUCAACCAGGAAUUGGAGGUUUAAUAUAUCAUUAAUCAAUGAUUAAGACUUUAUCAGUUAUGUGAGGAGAGAAUGGGCAACCUUUUUGUAAAACAACGAUACACCAGGAACCUCACCUUGUGUUCUCUAGGAGACUGGGAAGGCAGUUAUGCGUGGUAGAAUUAUUGCUUAUUAUUAUGCUCCAGUACUUAAAUUAGAAUUAGAGCAAAAAUAUAAAAUCUCUAGAGAUUAAAUAUAAUGUCUCUUCAACCAAUGAUGUCCUAGAAGACCUAAGAAAUCUAAAGAUGAAAUUAAAUAAUAUAUUUGAUCCCAAAACUCAGUUUCAAAUAGAUCAGUUAUGCUGGGAAAACUUUGCAAAUGUGGUCAAUUUUUAGCCAAUCAAUUUAAAAAUAAUAAAGAAAAAAAAUCCUCCAUUCAAUAACUAAUAAGAAAGUGGACAUUACUCAUGAUUCCCAUGAAAUAAAUGAUACCUUUAAAAACCUUUACCAAGAGUUAUAUACGUCCCAAAUAGAUCCAUCCACCUCAGCCAUAGAGGCGUUUCUGAAUAAACUAGAACUGCCAAAGUUAAAGGAAGAACAAACCACAACUCUAGACUCAUUGUUGUCUUUGGCAGAACUACUGUAGAUUUAGCUCCAAGGCCAGAUGGAUUCCCAACUGAAUUUUAUAAGGAGUUCUGGUCAUGCUGGCACCCAGUUUUUACAAAAUGGUAGCUGAAGUAAAACAAGAGCAUCCAUUACCCAGCCUGCUCCAAAAUCCAGGAAAAGACCCUUUGCUUCCAUCAUGUUACAGACUAAUUUCACCAAUAAAUGUAGAUUUAAAAAUACUGUGUAAAGCACUUGCUAGAAGAUUAGAAAAAGUCGCUCCAUAUAUAAUUCACUCUGAUCAAACAGGCUUCAUUAAACGUAAACAGUCAACAAACAAGUGCUAUUGCAGAUUAUGGUUUCAUUUACUGUAUAUGUUGGUGUGCACAAUCUGUUUCCUUAUUUUUUACAUUUUACUCAUCUAGAGGGGAGUUCAGGUCCGUCAGAGUGCUACUGAACUGUUCUACAUUAGCACACUGCACGCCAUCCUUGAAGAAUAGGCCACUACUGUUGUCUUCUAAGCUGUAAAAGGAAGUUACACAAGUUACACAGAGACAUUAUUUGGACAUGGAUCCACCAUCUGAGAUAGAUGUGUAUUUUUGUAUUUUUUGUUGUUACUAGCCAUCGUCUAUGAGUAACCAAUUCGAACUUAACUAAUGCUGUUUGUAGUAGGCCCCUUGAUCAAAGAUGACGCUUUACUGAUGAAUUUGUUGCUCUGUCCGUUAUAACAUUCUCCACCGUAAGUGGAGCUAUGGUAAGCAAAAUUAAAAUUAGCAACUUUGCUAAAUACAAAAACAUCAUUAAUUUAUACUUUAAUAAAAAAUACAUGAAUCCUUAUUAAAAAGUAAAAACAAACCUUGUGCCUCUUUGCAAGGUUAAACACAAUUAUGAUUGUUUAUUUGGUUUUCACUGUUGUCUGUACUCGUUGCACACCGCCAAUCUUAGCACACAGCAACACUCUCAUGAUGGUAUAGGAAGAGAGCAGCCAAAUUAAAAGCAUAUGGCGGAAGUGCCACUAUUGUCAAUGCAUUCUGGGUUAUUUACACUGUUCCUUCAACUGGGACAGUCGGAAAAUAAAGACCCCACAUAUUUUGGA